AAGAGAUGAAAGAGAUAUCAUGCAGAAAUAGAUUUAAUCUCACGACCAAACAAUGAUAUAGAUGUACCUUGUAAAUAAAGGACAUUCCAGCACCUCACAGCCUCCAGCAAAUUAAGCAGCUGAUGAAUGUUAACACAUGGAAAUCAAAUGGGGUAAUCAACUAAAACGCUGUACCAAUCUGUCCACUCAGAAGACCAAUAUAAUCCAGGAGAGAACACUAAUCAGGAGAUCAACAGCACCCCAGGAGUCCGACACCACCCAGGAAGACCAACACCACCCUCAGAACUCCAACACCAGGACUCUAACACCAAGAUUUAAUUAAAAAUGUAUUUUUUAAAAGAAAUAUUUAUCGAAUUUCGGAUUUCCAACAUUUUGGCAUGGGCAUCACUGAAGAGACAUACAACUGUAAUUUGUCGAAAUGCGCAUCUGGUGCAUCAAAAUGGUUACCGUAUAAGAUUUACAUCUUAUCUUGGAAUGUUUUCAUGUAUUGGAAUAUUUCUUGACCACAAGUGAAAAUAGAAAGCGUUUGUAAAAUGUUUUGUACUGAUUACAUGUAAUUUAUAAAAUGUAUUUUUGUGAAAUUUAUUGUAACUGAUCUAUUGAUAGGAAGUUAAUUAAAUGUUUACAAUAUA